CUUCUUCUUGGUUGGAGGUUCAAUAAUCAUCGAUCUUUGUACACACAAGGUGAUGAUGAUAAUGAUUAUCAGAAAUCGUUCUUUUCUUUUAUCUUCCAUUCUUCCUUCUCUGAUUCAAUCUGUCUCUCGUUCUCUUCUCUAUUCCGAGAAACCCUGAGCUCGUUCUCUUCUCUAUUCCGAGAAACCCUGAGCUCUAUUGGCCGUGUUCUUUUAAAACCCGUACCAAAAUUCCAGUAGCCAAAAAUUGAGAACUAAAACUAAUGAACAAGAAGACGACUUCUGGAACUUCUAAAAGGGUUUUUCAAUUUGGGGGUUUUUUACUCGAUUUUCAAUUUGGCUGAUGAGAACCCUGAUCUUUUCAAGACAUGAUUGUGGGAUGUAAGGAGUGGGAAGAUCAUGCACACAAUAGAAACUAGUUCACCUGUGAAAAGUACUGAAGUUAGUCAGGAUGGUCGUUAUAUCACCACUGCAGAUGGUUCCACUGUUAAAUUUUGGGAUGCAAAUCAGACUAGUGAAGAGCUAUGACAUGUCAUGCACUGUGGAAUCGGCUUCACUGGAACCGAAGCAUGGCAAUAAGUUUGUAGCUGCUGGAGAAGACAUGUGGAUACAACUGUUUAAUUUCCGUACAGGCGAGGAUAUUGUUGUAGUUGAAAGGGAUGCAUUCGAGAUGGUGAAGGUACUGUUUUAUAGUAGUACGGAAGGUGUGGGUGAUGGUGUAGUGACUUAUAGUAGUAUAUAUAUAGCCAGUUCUGGAGAUGGUGCAGAUGAUUAUGUUAGAAGGAGCAAAAGCUAGAACAGAGACUGUUGAUGCGUUAAGAAGUGGAGCUGUUGCAAUGAAGGCUAUGCAAAAAGAAAUUAUCAUUACAUGAAAGUUGAGCAGAGUUGGAGGAACAACUUCUACAACCUGCAAGUCAAAUUCCUGUAGCUCCAGUAUAUAUACCGGCAGGAAGGAAACUGACAUGACCUGCUCCUCAGAAGAAUAAAGCUGAGGAAGAUGAGUUGGCUGCACUAGAGGCAGAGAUGGCUCUCUGAACAGGUUCUAAAUCAGGCCUAAAGUUACAUAAGAAUCAUGUAAAGAUUGGUUGGUGGGAAAAUAUCGGUCAGACAGCUACUGCUCCAUUCACAUUAUGUGUUAGACUUAUGUAAUUAUCUUAAGUGUCACGUACAGACUUUGGACUGAAAUUAGGAAUUAAAUGGUUGCUUUUUCGAUUAUUAUUAUAUAGCUCAGUGCUCCUGAUGAUUUGAAAUUUUUGAUUUUUUAUUCGAGUUGAUGCUCAUUAUAAUGCAAGACCCUGUUUU